rnacentral:rRNA from 1 species
GUAGGUGGCAAGCGUUGUCCGGAUUUACUGGGCGUAAAGAGCGCGCAGGCGGUCGUUCAAGUCGCGUGUGAAAGCCCCCGGCUCAACUGGGGAGGGUCACGCGAUACUGAUCGACUCGAAGGCAGGAGAGGGAAGUGGAAUUCCCGGUGUAGCGGUGAAAUGCGCAGAUAUCCGAAGGAACACCGGUGGCGAAGGCGGCUUCCUGGACCGACACUGACGCUGAGGCGCGAAAGCUAGGGGAGCAAACGGGAUUAGAUACCCCGGUAGUCCUAGCCCUAAACGAUGAGAACUGGGUGUAGGGGGUAUGAACCCCCCCUGUGCCGAAGCUAACGCAUUAAGUUCUCCGCCUGGGGAGUACGGUCGCAAGGCUG